UACGUAGGGGGCAAGCGUUGUCCGGAUUUAUUGGGCGUAAAGAGCGUGUAGGCGGCCUGACAGGUCUGCUGUGAAAACUCGAGGCUCAACCUCGAGCUGUCGGCUGAAACCAUCUGGCUAGAGUCCGGAAGAGGAGAAUGGAAUUCCCGGUGUAGCGGUGAAAUGCGCAGAUAUCGGGAGGAACACCAAUGGCGAAGGCAGCUCGCUGGGACGUUACUGACGCUGAGACGCGAAAGCGUGGGGAGCAAACAGG
rnacentral:rRNA from 1 species